UACGAGAGGCCCAAACGUUAUUCGGAUUUACUGGGCUUAAAGAGUUCGUAGGCGGUCUAGCAAGUGAGGUGUGAAAGCCCUCGGCUCAACCGAGGAAUUGCGCUUCAAACUGCUAGGCUCGAGGGAGAUAGAGGUGAGCGGAACUGAUGGUGGAGCGGUGAAAUGCGUUGAUAUCAAUAGGAACUCCGGUGGCGAAGGCGGCAUACUGGACCACUUCUGACGCUGAGGCGCGAAAGCCAGGGGAGCAAACGGG
rnacentral:rRNA from 1 species